GAUGAACGCUGGCGGCGUGCCUAACACAUGUAAGUCGAACGUGAGAGCCUUAGCAAUAGGGCUUGAAAGUGGCGAACGGGUGAGUAACACGUAGGAACCUGCCCUGGACUCUGGGAUAACCCCGAGAAAUCGGAGCUAAUACCGGAUAGGACCUUUCCCUGCAUGGGGUUUGGUGGAAAGUUUUUCGGUCUGGGAUGGACUCGCGGCCUAUCAGCUUGUUGGUGAGGUAAUGGCUCACCAAGGCGUCGACGGGUAGCCGGCCUGAGAGGGUGACCGGCCACACUGGGACUGAGACACGGCCCAGACUCCUACGGGAGGCAGCAGUGGGGAAUAUUGCACAAUGGGCGCAAGCCUGAUGCAGCAACGCCGCGUGCGGGAUGACGGCCUUCGGGUUGUAAACCGCUUUUAGUAGGGAAGAAGGGCUUCGGCUUGACGGUACCUGCAGAAAAAGGACCGGCUAACUACGUGCCAGCCGCCGCAGUAAUAC
rnacentral:rRNA from 1 species